UUUAUUUUGGAUUUUCUUUAGAUAUUAAUAUUCAAAGAUAAGUGUUUUUUCUCUCUCCAAAUUUAUUAUCUAUACAAAGAAUUAAAUGGAGCUUGGAUUUGCGUUCCAUGAUCAUACAAAUGCUUUAUCUUUGUGAUUUAUUACAUAUUAAUCGGAUGUUUUUAUGAUAUAUAAUGCAAGAAAAUGAACAUAUUUAACAGUCAAAACACAUCAUACAACCACGAUCCAUUGCAAGAGAAUCAUUCGUCGUAAAUAUCUUACUUUAACUACGAAUCACUUUUGUCAUAUUAAAUACAAAAAGGAUAAAAGAAAAGGGAGAGAAAGUUGUGUUAAAGCAUGCUAGGUUGAGAAUAUGACCAUAUAUGGACUACGUAUGAGGCACGGAUCAUGCGCAGUAGCACGCUCGUAGAUGUCUAAUGAAUACAUGGGCGAUAAUCGACGACAUAAAUGCAUCUGGGAAAACCAGAGAGAACCUUGUCAAUUAGCAUUGCCCUACAGAAUGCGAAGCGGUAGGUGUUUCCGAGGAAAAACCAAGGAGGUAGGAGGGGGAGUGAAGCCAAGCUUGGAAUUAAGAAUAUGGAAUUUUUUUUGUUUUUUUUAAUUUUGAAC
rnacentral:lncRNA from 1 species